CUAUAUGGACACAGUGACCUGCAAGCUGUUUAUGAUACCAGGCAACAUAUCUUUAUUGAAGCAUUAUAGCAAUCUCACACCCUAUGGAGGAGCAAGUUAGGGAAAAGACUACAAUAUAUAACAGCACACUCACUUUUAAAGUUUUACCAAUGUUUCAGCAGCAAGUCUUUGUAAGGCACCAAGCAACAUUAGCAAUAUCUGUGUGCUCACAGAUAUGACAAUUGACAGAGACUGAAUACAUAACAGCAAAAAGGUGAAGGAGUUUUGCUCAGUUAUCACCAUAAGGAAUUUCCAAUUAUGAUGGACUUUGUGUUCCUUCACAUAUCCAUCUGAACAGGCCACAACUAGCUGAGACUUAAACCUGAAACACAUAAAAACAAAAAAAAUGGUAGCUAUGUUGCCCUGAAGGCAUUUUAUCAUAACGCAGUAUGAAAUAAUCCAAAAUAAUUACAAUGAAAUUACUGUACCUAAAACCACAAAUCCAAAGAUCUCAUCUGUUCUUGAUAGGCUUCCCCAAAAAUGAGUAAAGAGCAACAGGAAAACGUUAAAGCUGCCAGGAAUUCGCUCUAAUGAAUUGGUUCCACCUGUGCACUGACCUUUAAAUGGCAAAACGUCCAAAGCUGUGGGUAUCUGGAUUCUGUGAGCAGUACAAACUACUGUACAGGACAUCCAGUUUUUGGAAGGAAACGUACUUCCUCCAGCUGGCUUAUCCCAAAUAUAGCAGACCACCCUCCAACACAUGACCUCCAGCCACUGAGAUGAGACCACAGCAUGAUGUGGAAACACACAUGGUGCAAAAACUUCCACUGAACAGCAGAAAAUGACUGUGUUUGAUUGCACAUUCUCAUCUCAUCCAAGACCUUCAGAUCUAUAUUCUAACAUCAUCAAAAACCUAUGAGCUUUCAAUAACAGCGUCGUCUCUGAUCACAUAUGAAACGUGGUUUAAAAAAUACACUUUCAAGAACUUCACUGUAGAAAUCUGUUAACUCAGCAUGGUGUGUUUACAAAAAUAUCAUGUGAUGUUUACUAAGUGUACAGUAUCAUAUGGCCUAUGAAACCACAAAAAUCUGCUCUUAGAAUCAGCUCAAUGCAUUGGGAAGCUUUGGAAAGCACAUCAUCAAAAGUGCCCUUUACUAACACUGUCUUUAUAUGAUUAGCACCAAUCAAAACUUUUGAAACAAGAUGUUGAACUUCAAUUUUGUAGUAGCCUAUAUUUAAUUACCACACCUCAAGUAAGUGCUGUCUCCGGAUCACUUGGACCUUCUUAAGGGCUUCAGACCUUCAGCAGAAGAUCAGCUCUCACAAUCACACUUCUUUAAACUUCUUUAUAGACUGUGUGACUGGUGCUUAAGUAGAUAAUCAAAGGCACUUUGGUUUUAAGAGGCCUGAAAUUAAUGAAGAGGUCAAUUCUAAGCUUUCAUAUCUAUUAGAGAUAAAGACCGACACCAGACAGAGAGACCAUAAAAUGCAUUAUAUUAAUGCAGUUGGUUAUAUAUUUCCUUCCUUAAAUCGACAUGGACACAGACCUCAUUAAAUAAAUGAAAGAGCAAAGAGAGACUAUAAAAGGCC
ensembl:lncRNA